rnacentral:rRNA from 1 species
AUUGAACGCUGGCGGCAGGCCUAACACAUGCAAGUCGAGCGGAUGAAGGGAGCUUGCUCCUGGAUUCAGCGGCGGACGGGUGAGUAAUACCUAGGAAUCUGCCUGGUAGUGGGGGAUAACGUCCGGAAACGGGCGCUAAUACCGCAUACGUCCUGAGGGAGAAAGUGGGGGAUCUUCGGACCUCACGCUAUCAGAUGAGCCUAGGUCGGAUUAGCUAGUUGGUGGGGUAAAGGCCUACCAAGGCGACGAUCCGUAACUGGUCUGAGAGGAUGAUCAGUCACACUGGAACUGAGACACGGUCCAGACUCCUACGGGAGGCAGCAGUGGGGAAUAUUGGACAAUGGGCGAAAGCCUGAUCCAGCCAUGCCGCGUGUGUUAAGAAGGUCUUCGGAUUGUAAAGCACUUUAAGUUGGGAGGAAGGGCAGUAAGUUAAUACCUUGCUGUUUUGACGUUACCAACAGAAUAAGCACCGGCUAACUUCGUG